CCUACGGGGGGCUGCAGUGGGGAAUAUUGGACAAUGGGCGAAAGCCUGAUCCAGCAAUGCCGCGUGAGUGAUGAAGGCCUUAGGGUUGUAAAGCUCUUUUACCAGGGAUGAUAAUGACAGUACCUGGAGAAUAAGCUCCGGCUAACUCCGUGCCAGCAGCCGCGGUAAUACGGAGGGAGCUAGCGUUGUUCGGAAUUACUGGGCGUAAAGCGUGCGUAGGCGGUGACUCAAGUCAGAGGUGAAAGCCUGGAGCUCAACUCCAGAACUGCCUUUGAAACUAGGUCGCUAGAAUCUGGGAGAGGUGAGUGGAAUUCCGAGUGUAGAGGUGAAAUUCGUAGAUAUUCGGAAGAACACCAGUGGCGAAGGCGGCUCACUGGACCAGAAUUGACGCUGAGGCACGAAAGCGUGGGGAGCAAACAGGAUUAGAUACCCCGGUAGUC
rnacentral:rRNA from 2 species